rnacentral:tRNA from 1 species
CCCUGGUGAUUCAGACAGUAAAGAAUCUGUCUGCAAUACAGGAGACCCAGGUUCAAUCCCUGGAUCAGGAA